CGGGGCGUAGCGCAGCCUGGUAGCGCACUUGCAUGGGGUGCAAGGGGUCGCGAGUUCGAAUCCCGCCGCUCCGACCA
rnacentral:tRNA from 6 species